GAGUUUGAUCAUGGCUCAGAUUGAACGCUGGCGGCAGGCCUAACACAUGCAAGUCGAACGGUAACAGGAAACAGCUUGCUGUUUCGCUGACGAGUGGCGGACGGGUGAGUAAUGUCUGGGAAACUGCCUGAUGGAGGGGGAUAACUACUGGAAACGGUAGCUAAUACCGCAUAACGUCGCAAGACCAAAGAGGGGGACCUUCGGGCCUCUUGCCAUCAGAUGUGCCCAGAUGGGAUUAGCUAGUAGGUGGGGUAACGGCUCACCUAGGCGACGAUCCCUAGCUGGUCUGAGAGGAUGACCAGCCACACUGGAACUGAGACACGGUCCAGACUCCUACGGGAGGCAGCAGUGGGGAAUAUUGCACAAUGGGCGCAAGCCUGAUGCAGCCAUGCCGCGUGUAUGAAGAAGGCCUUCGGGUUGUAAAGUACUUUCAGCGGGGAGGAAGGGAGUAAAGUUAAUACCUUUGCUCAUUGACGUUACCCGCAGAAGAGGCACCGGCUAACUCCGUGCCAGCAGCCGCGGUAAUACGGAGGGUGCAAGCGUUAAUCGGAAUUACUGGGCGUAAAGCGCACGCAGGCGGUUUGUUAAGUCAGAUGUGAAAUCCCCGGGCUCAACCUGGGAACUGCAUCUGAUACUGGCAAGCUUGAGUCUCGUAGAGGGGGGUAGAAUUCCAGGUGUAGCGGUGAAAUGCGUAGAGAUCUGGAGGAAUACCGGUGGCGAAGGCGGCCCCCUGGACGAAGACUGACGCUCAGGUGCGAAAGCGUGGGGAGCAAACAGGAUUAGAUACCCUGGUAGUCCACGCCGUAAACGAUGUCGACUUGGAGGUUGUGCCCUUGAGGCGUGGCUUCCGGAGCUAACGCGUUAAGUCGACCGCCUGGGGAGUACGGCCGCAAGGUUAAAACUCAAAUGAAUUGACGGGGGCCCGCACAAGCGGUGGAGCAUGUGGUUUAAUUCGAUGCAACGCGAAGAACCUUACCUGGUCUUGACAUCCACGGAAGUUUUCAGAGAUGAGAAUGUGCCUUCGGGAACCGUGAGACAGGUGCUGCAUGGCUGUCGUCAGCUCGUGUUGUGAAAUGUUGGGUUAAGUCCCGCAACGAGCGCAACCCUUAUCCUUUGUUGCCAGCGGUCCGGCCGGGAACUCAAAGGAGACUGCCAGUGAUAAACUGGAGGAAGGUGGGGAUGACGUCAAGUCAUCAUGGCCCUUACGACCAGGGCUACACACGUGCUACAAUGGCGCAUACAAAGAGAAGCGACCUCGCGAGAGCAAGCGGACCUCAUAAAGUGCGUCGUAGUCCGGAUUGGAGUCUGCAACUCGACUCCAUGAAGUCGGAAUCGCUAGUAAUCGUGGAUCAGAAUGCCACGGUGAAUACGUUCCCGGGCCUUGUACACACCGCCCGUCACACCAUGGGAGUGGGUUGCAAAAGAAGUAGGUAGCUUAACCUUCGGGAGGGCGCUUACCACUUUGUGAUUCAUGACUGGGGUGAAGUCGGAACAAGGUAACCGUAGGGGAACCUGCGGUUG
rnacentral:rRNA from 1 species